rnacentral:rRNA from 1 species
GACGAACGCUGGCGGCGUGCCUAACACAUGCAAGUCGAACGGAACUUUUUCAAAAGAAUCUUUCGGGAUGAUUUUGAUUAAGUUUAGUGGCGGACGGGUGAGUAACGCGUGAGUAACCUGCCUUUGAGAGGGGAAUAACAGUCAGAAAUGACUGCUAAUACCGCAUAAGCGCACGGAACCGCAUGGUUUUGUGUGAAAAACUCCGGUGGUGUGAGAUGGACCCGCGUUGGAUUAGCCAGUUGGCAGGGUAACGGCCUACCAAAGCGACGAUCCAUAGCCGGCCUGAGAGGGUGAACGGCCACAUUGGGACUGAGACACGGCCCAG